rnacentral:rRNA from 1 species
AGGUGCGAUCAUACCAGCAUUAAUGCACCGGAUCCCAUCAGAACUCCGCAGUAAAGCGUGCUGGGCCGAGAGUAGUACUAGGAUGGGUGACCUCCUGGGAAGUCCUCGUGUUGCACUUCUUU